UUUUUUUUGAACUAGGUGGUGGAGAGUUAGGAGUUAACUCUGUAAGAGUGGCAGAGACAAGUUUUUAUAUAAAACUUUGAAGGUAGGGAAUAACAUAACAGUCUACAAGAAUAAGUACACCAAUAACAAUAGUGAACAAGGUGGAGUCUCACCCUGCUGCCCAGGCUGAAGUGCGAUGGUGUGAUCUCGGCUCACUGCAACCUCUGCUUCUGGGGUUCAAAUGAUUCUCCUGCCUCAGCCUCCUGAGUAGGUGGGAUUAGAGGUGCUCGCCACCAUGCCCAGCUAAUUUUUGUCUUUUUAGUAGAGACGAGGUUUCACCAUGUUGGCCAGGCUAGUCUCAAAUUCCUGACCUCGUGAUCUGCCUGCCUUGGCCUCCCAAAGUGCUGGGAUUACAGGCGUGAGCCACCACGUCCAGCCAAAACCCCAUACCUAUUAACAGUCAUGCCUCACAUCUCACAUACCUCUAGAGGUUCCUGUAAACCACGAAUCUACUUUUUCUAUUCUGAACAUUUUAUGUAAGUGCAAUUAUAAAAUAAGUGGACUUUAGUGUCUGCUUUCAUUUAGCAUAUUGUUUAUGAUGUACAUUUAUGUUGUAGUAUAUCUCAGUACUUUAUUAAUUAUGAAGGUUGAAUUAUAUUCCAUUAACAUAAUAUACAAACAAAUUUGUCUGUUCACCAAUGGAUGGACAUUUAGGUCGUUUAAACUUUCUAAUUAUAAUGAAUAGGCUGCUAUGAAUAUUCAUGUACAAAUUUUUGUUUGAAUGUGUUUUUAAUUCACUUGGGUAUAUAACUAGACCUGGUAUUAUGGAUCAUAACUAUCUGUUUAACAUUUGAGAAACUUUCAAACUGUUUUUAAAGUAACUGUGCAAUUUUAAGUUCCCAAAAGCAGACUAUGUUGGCUUCAAUGAGAUGGGAACAUAGGAGCACCUUUUUUUUUUUUUUUUUUUUUUUUUUUUUUGAGAGGGAGUAUUGCUGUGUCACCUAGGCUGGAGUGCAAUAGCUCGAUCUCAGCUCACUGCAACCUCUGCCUCCUCGGUUCAAGCGAUUCUCCUGCCUCAGCCUCUUGAUUAGCGGGGAUUACAGGCACCUGCCACCAUGCCUGGCUAAUUUUUUUUUGUUAUUUUAGUAGAGAUGGGGUUUCACCAUGUCGGCCAGGCUGAUCUCAAACUCCUGACCUCAGGUGAUCUGCUUGCCUUGGCCUCCCAAAGUGCUGAGAUUACAGGCAUGAGCUACUGGGCCCAGCCAGGAGCACCCUUUAAAAUAGCAAUACAUUAACCCUCAAAAAUGAAUAUGUACAUGCUGAGAAGCCGAGUGCAACAGGAGAUUAAUGAAGAGGGUCAGCAGCAGAAUGACUGGGGAAAGGAUGUAUUAAUAAGGGAAAAGUGUGUUGGGGCUGAUUGCUCUGAGGAAAAGUAGGUCAGGACUCCUGGUGUAGGUGGCUCUAGGACCAAGUUGGCAUGGGCAGCCUGGAUGGGCUGGUGAGUCAGGAAACCCUGGUGAUGCAAUUCCCAGCUGACAGCACUCUCCCAAUUGCAAAGAGUAUCUUUUCACUUCUCCAGUUGCUAGGUCAGAGGGGACCCAUGGGCAGCUCCGCAGGUCAUUUUAAAGUCAGGGAAAUGCAGAAAAAAAGGAUAAAAUUGAGUCUCUGUCCCAGUGUACUCCUGCCCCCAGCCAACCUUCCACCUCUCUCAUUAGUGUCCCUGAGAUGCCUGGCAGUGCCUUGGGCCCUCCUUUCAUCUGGGUUUCAGCCCACUCUGUCCUCUUCUACUUCCUGUCUUUGAUUGCCUCUUUGGCUCAGGCUUGUAACAUCUGCAGUGCCAGUCACCUGGGAUUGCAAGCGGCCCAGAUGGUCUGUUCAGAGUGCUGCUGGGAAGGUGGGUGCUGGGACAGUGGCCCUGGGAGACUAAGAAGCUGAAGGAGGGAAGAAGGAAACGUGAGAAGGUUACAGCCAUGCCUCUGGACUGCUAAAGUCCCAGGGAGAAAAGACUUUGGCUUGGGGCCCUUCAUGGUGAACGAGGAGAUGGGUCCACUGAAGAGAAAAAAAAAAGGAAUGGAAGCUGACCUACAGGGAACAAGAAAGUGGGGCCAGCCACAUCCUCCAGCCACCAGUUGGGGGGUGUGGGGGGAGGGGGUUGGACAAGAUGACCUCUGAGGUUUCUGUCUCACUCAGUCUGGCUGACAGCUGAGUGACAGGCUUGCUCAGAAAGGACAUCCAGAUGUCAGUUUCUGAUGCAUCCAGGAUACUGGAGUUCAAACAUUUUCACCCUUCUACUUCCUUGGCUCCAAGCUUUAUACUGAGAGCUGGUUCUCAGGCUGUGAAAGGGGUAGGGUUUGCGGUGGGCAGACUGCUGACCUCUGCCUCCCGAUUUCAGGUUGCUCUGCCACUCAGUGUUGGCCUUGGACUGUCCUGAGCAGGUUGCUGUUCCCCUACCCUGCCAUGUACAUAGAAGGCAAGUGUGAGACCUUCAUUUUCUCACUAGAAAAUACUGAAUAAAGUUUUCUGAGGGCCCCCUUCCCUAUUUCACAUGCUAAGCUGGAGGGCAAAAAUUGAACAUGGAAGUGGUAGAAAUAGGUAGUUCCCAGUGGAACACCAAAUACAGCCAGGCUGAAGGGCCCAAGCAAAGCAGAGGAACAGACAGCACUGGAUUCCCCUCAUUCAUCCCUGUUCUCUGCUGACUCUUCCCAAGUUGGGGUCCCAUCAGCUACCCAUGAGCAUGCCAAAAACAAGCACACAGUUAAUAGUUUGCAGCAUAGACAAGCAAGGUUCUGAGAGAAACACCACCUCCCUGGCAACUGUACACUCUGCUCUCCUGAGACUGGAGAGCAAAGCUGAUUACAAUCAAAGGGAAAAAGACAGAAAAUAUCCUGCCUCCAGGAGUCAGGCUAUCCUCCAGUUUUCUUGGCAGCACCAUUGUCCCUUGCUGACCACUGACUCCCUGCCAGGAGGGGUGGGAGAGAGACUAGGAGACUCACCUUGGGACAAAGGGCUGGUCCAGCCUUUUCAGCUCCUGGGGAACUUUGUCCCAGCCAAUGCUUUCAUGGAAACUGAGCUAUGAGAGAC
rnacentral:lncRNA from 10 species